CAGCCCGCUGUGAUGUAUUCCAAAUCCGUUUAAAAAACACCCGGCCCCCUGUGGCAGCCACGGCAUCUUGGCCAAUACUUGUAGAUACCGGUGCGCGGCAUCUCCCCCCAAGUGCCCCGCCGGUGAAGGUACCGAGGAUCGCGUACCUUAUUGUUACACUCCUAAUGGUCUUGACCCGGAUUCAUCCCCCAGAACCCGG
rfam:Pseudomonas denitrificans ATCC 13867, complete genome.